CCUACGGGAGGCAGCAGUGGGGAAUAUUGCACAAUGGGCGCAAGCCUGAUGCAGCCAUGCCGCGUGUGUGAAGAAGGCCUUCGGGUUGUAAAGCACUUUCAGCGGGGAGGAAGGCGGUGGGGUUAAUAACCUCAUCGAUUGACGUUACCCGCAGAAGAAGCACCGGCUAACUCCGUGCCAGCAGCCGCGGUAAUACGGAGGGUGCAAGCGUUAAUCGGAAUUACUGGGCGUAAAGCGCACGCAGGCGGUCUGUCAAGUCGGAUGUGAAAUCCCCGGGCUCAACCUGGGAACUGCAUUCGAAACUGGCAGGCUAGAGUCUUGUAGAGGGGGGUAGAAUUCCAGGUGUAGCGGUGAAAUGCGUAGAGACCUGGAGGAAUACCGGUGGCGAAGGCGGCCCCCUGGACAAAGACUGACGCUCAGGUGCGAAAGCGUGGGGAGCAAACAGGAUUAGAUACCCCAGUAGUC
rnacentral:rRNA from 1 species